rnacentral:lncRNA from 1 species
CCAGUUUGAGCUUCCCAGCUGCUUUGUUUACCUAAGCAAGCCUGGGCAAUGGUGGGCGCCCCUCCCCCAGCCUUGCUGCUGCCUUGCAGUUUGAUCUCAGACUGCUGUGCUAGCAAUCAGCGAGACUCCGUGGGCGUAGGACCUCCGAGCCAGGUGCGGGAUGUAAUCUCGUGGUGCACCGUUUUUCUUAAGCCGGUCCGAAAAGCGCAAUAUUCGGUUGGGAGUGACCCGAUUUUCCAGAGAUAUGGAUAUGAGAGGCAUUCCUCCACAGAAGAGGCUUAACCACUUUGGCCCUUGAGAUCUUUACUUGAUCAAAACUUCUACAAGCGUGCUGGCAUGCUGGAGUCAGCUAGAAUUGGAUUGCCAGAGCCUGUUGUGUGCACCUGUCCCCAACUCUGUCCAGUGACCUCAGCCUCCUUUCACAGAGACUGAAUUUCAAUCAGCUGCUCUCAGUUGACAAUGAUAAAAUUAUCUCUAUAUGGGCAAAUGCGUGCUCUUUGUCGAAAAAGAAAGCUUCAGCUUCAUGUUCCAGGUGAGUUAAUUAGGCAAUGUAUGAAUGCUAAUAUCUCUUUCACAUAUUUUGCUUAAGAUCUGUCUUAGGACUCUCGUCUGGCCCAUAUGGUUUUCCAAGGGCAGAAGGGCCUCUUUUUGAUGAGAGGCAGUUUUCAGUAACUCUUAAAGUGAUAACAGCAAAGGAGAGGAGAGAGAAGAGUAAGACAAAUCGAAACAUUCUUCAAUUGCUUCUUGGCCUUUUGGCUAAGCUCAAGCUCAAAACAGGUCUUCAAGGAGAAAAUACAUCACAAAGAAAAGGAUGUUUUAUUUCUUACCUUGUCCUAGAAAAAUUUCCAUAAACUCUAUUGGCUUAAUUCUGUAAACUUGACCAAUAUCAGAGUGCUUCCUACCAAGGAGGGUAGCUGAUGAGCGUGACCAUGGUACAUCCUAGAAGAAUGUGUGAUGAAGAAGCUUUCACCGUGUAAAAGAGUUGAAAAUUAUUCAAGGAGACAUUAUGGUCUUGGCCAUAAUUUAAGAACCAGUUUAAAAUAAUUUUUAUAUAGAACUUAGAGUCUAAUUUCUCAGCACAAUUCUUCUUCCCUCCUGAGUGUGGGCUGCUGGAGUGUCAGUUCCAAAUUCUUAUGCAUGAGUAAUCUUAGCAUAUUCAGUAAUAUAUUCCUCUUAUGAGAAAGUAAUCAAGUACAAUAUAACUGAUGACUUUCUUGAUUCAGUAAUCAGUAAUUUGUGAUCAAUUUUACCUGAUGGUGACAGCUUGGUGUAUAAGUUAGUGCUAAUGUAUAUUACUGCAUUUCAUUUCUGUGGAGCCUGUCAGCUGAGCAAAGGAGGGAAACUCAGGAUGGAGAACUCCUCCCCCUCCAUCCAUAAGUGGCACACCACUGGCCUCCUGGUGUUAUUAAAGGAAAAUUGGAAAAGUUUCCAGAAGAUUAAGCAGAAAGCUUACAACUUGCACAAGACUCUCAAUUUUCCAGUGGCUCUGACAGAAGGAUAAAUCUUCGGCUGUUUUAACUAAAAUGGACGGUCAAGUUGGUAUCCAUCGUGAAGCUAAAUGAAUAUCUGGACAGGAGUCAGACAAAGGGAAGGAGAAUCCAGGGGAAGAUGAAGCAGCUGCAGGCCUGUCUGCUACCCUAUAUCCGGGGAAGAGCCAGAAAUUGCUGACCAUAGAGAGUUACAUUGUCCAGCUUUUCCUCCACGAAAUGGAGCAGCAACAAAAGGCCAGAUCAUUCAACCUAUGCUUCCUCAAGUCUGAUAACAUUAGCGUUUCUCUCAGAUAUCAGUUCAAGUAAGGAGUUGCCAAUAGAAGCAAAGAUGCCAGGAAUCAUCGUUUUUAUUUCAGUGUCCUUACGAAGACCUUUGAGCACAAUGGAACGAUGAGGCAACAUUAAAUAUUACUGGAAUGGGGUAUGAAAGCAGCUACUAGAAAAUCCUGCAAGAAAAAUAGAUGGAGAAACUGAGUGCUAAGAGUCUUGCCUUUUAGCUGUCAACAGUUUGAAGAUGAAACAAAUCUGGAACAGCUGAUUUCUAUUGUGGCAGCUAUUACCCAUUUUUGUUAUGCAUCUGUCUCUUCCCAGACUAUAAAUUAUUUAAGGUGUGAGUCGGAGACCUAGGCAUUUCUUAUGGCCAGAACCUUAAGCAAUGUCUGGGAUAUAGCAGAUAUAACAGACUCUCAGCUAUUGCGUGAAUUAAGGAAUGAGCUUGAGAAAUACUUUUAAGUAUUUUCUUCCUGGAAAAGAGACUCCAACUGUCUUUUGUACAGUGCUUGAAACUCAUACCAUUAAUCACUCUUUGAGACUAAAGCUCUGAUAACCUGAGUGAAGAAUUGGUUACAAGGACGUUACAAUGCACCAUGCUACCUUCAGCCAUUUGUGCUUCUGCAUAAAUUGUUUUGACCGAUUAGCCAAUCAGUCACCAACAAGACCCAAAAGGAAUGAGAAUCUAAACAGAUUGUCACCAUUUGGUGGGUUUGAACACCAAGAGGAUAGAGCCUAGAGCAUUGUGGUCUGCUUUAAGACUUCUGAGAGGCAAUAAGGAGCCCUGAGAGAAGCUGAGGGCUUCAAGCAAUGAGAUUUGAGCCUACCUCCCUUCAUCAAAAGUGCAGCUAGAAAAACUUGGAGAAGCAACCAGAACGGGAGUUGGGAGGGUAAUACUUUUACAUCAAAACAACACUAGCUUUAUUGGCUGUAAUAAGAGCAAAGUAUGUAAGUAGAAAUGAUAUUAAUCUGUCAUGCAUAUCACUUCUCAAGUGGUUCCUCAACAAUAGUGUUAAUCAAGCUUUGCCCUACUUUUAUCGGAAACCUGGUGAAGAAUAGCUUUGACAUUUAUCAGACAUAGGACACUAAGAAAAUUGCCAUAUGUAUAAAUAAAUUUAUGCCUUGAAAAUGUUUGUGCCAUGCUCUGGGAAAGGGGGUCAGGAACAAAUGAGAGGGUAGAGGUAGAAGGGAAAGGUCUGCAGAAUGUGGAGGUGAGAAGGAAAGAAGAAAAGGGUUGGGCAUGGAGGGAGGUAACAUCAGGGCUAAACCUAAUAGGCCUGGGGAGACUCCAGAGAUUCAGGCAGUUAAGUUUCUCUCCUUUUUUUUUUUUCUGGUGUUCUCAUUUUCAUUUGGGUGGCUUUGGGCAAGUCUUUCUUAAUCUCAGAUGGUGCUAACACUUUCAUCCAACUGAGGAAUCAAUAACAUGACAGGCUUAAAAGUGUUUUGCUAACUAUAAAGUGAAACACUAAUGUUAUUUAGAGCAAGGAAGAAAAAGUAGAGAGCAUCUAAUAACUUACAAUGCUAUUAUGGUAAAAAAAAAAAAAGUUUGUCCACAGGAUACACAAAGAUGAAUGAGUAAAAAGUGAUUCAUCAAUUAUCCCAACCUAGAAAGACUCAGCCAAGGAUGGACAAAAUACUAAAUUCCUCUCUUAGCUAUAUAUGAAAUAGGUCAGGGAGAGGGUUUAUUUUACUGCUCUCCUUCUUAUAAAUGUGGGGUUCAGAAUUGAACAGUUGUUCCAUCAACCAUGACCCUAAAACCUGGGUAUGCUAGGAAUCUAGGAGAAGAGAUUCAAAUGUAUUUUCGCUUGGAUAUAAAAAUGGGGAGGAAAAGCCACAGUGGUGACAUGUCAUUUUGCAUACCUCAGAAUUCCAGAGAUCCCUAGCUUUUGAUUCUGUGCAGGCUCUCUGUGGUACUGGCUGUAUCAGCUGCUCUUAACCAUGAACCAGAACAUCUUGGAGAGGAGCUGCUAAGUGCCUACUGAGUCUGUAGCAUGGAAAACAUGUCUGCAACGUUAAUGGAGAGCUCCGGUUUCUGGGGCUGAGAGAUUUCAAUCACUGAUAUUGUCAGUGAGUGAGGGUGGCGGGGGCCAUGGUGUAUGCUUGUCUGGAAUAAAGAACAUCAGUUUUGAAAAAAAAAUCAAAAAACAAAAACAAAAACAACCUUGCUAAGUAGGUGCCAGGUGUGGUUGUGAGCCAUUAGUAGGUGUGUAAGCGGACUGGAGCUGGGCCGACUUCCUCCCACGCAACAAGGAGCCCUCCUGCAAGGCCAGGCAGCUCACCACAGCACCACUGCUCAGAAACAGGAGGUUAAUUAGCCCAGCACUUAAUGAGAGCGUCUGGAGGAACUGUUAAGAAAAUACUAAAAAAUAAAUAAGAUGGAGUAACGAUGGAAGGAAGGCAUAGACAUGCUCCGAAAUGGCUGGUAGAAGAAAUAAUAUGGCUGAGACAAAUUGAGAAUGACUGAGCAGCUGAAGCCUGGCCCCAGUGCUGCUUAAGGGGCACCCUCCUAAUGAACAAGCAGUGCAGAGAUGGAGGAACUUAUGAAGCUUGGCAGCUAUGGUGGUGGUGAAGUGUGUGUGCAUAUGUGUGUGUGUGUUGGGGGUAGGGUAGAAUGGGAGAUAGAGUUUCUUUUCAUUUUAAGGACUUUGGAAUCACAAGACUUCUAAGUCAAAGAAAUUAUUAUCUUCUAUCCCUAGGAUCAUUUCGAUUUAUUUCCUAUUAAGCUUGGCACUUAUCAAAAAUAAAUAUUUGUGGAAUAAAUGAGUGGAUUAAAAAAAUGAGUUUUGUUAAUUCAAUGCCAUGAUUUCAUGGCAGUUGUUUUCCAACCAUGCUCUGAAAAGUCUGAGAGUUCCAUGGAGAUAUGUCAGGAAACUCCACGAAAUUGUUGGCAAACUGCUUAGAUGAGUAUAUGUCUCUUCAGAGAAGUAUUUCAAAGUCCAAACACUCAGCAGGGCCUGAUUUAGAACUAGGAGUGUAAAUGAGCCAAAUUUCAGCCUGGCUAUCCUAGCCCAAGGUCACAGGGAGAGUUGGUAGCUGAGUUGAGGCUUAAGUCAAGAACUUCUGACUUCAAUUCCAGUGCUCUUUCCAAUUCGCCAUGCUUAAGGCUGCAUAAAUUUCAGAAGGUUGGGCCAAAUAAUACAUCAAAUGUUCAUGCAAAAUUGUCAGUGCCUUGGAAAUGCAACAAAACUUGAGGGGGAAAAAUAAAAAAUUUAGCCAGUUUUUCAGGGAAAUGAUUGUCCAAAAAUGAGGACUUAGACAAUAAACAAAGUCAGGACAGAAAACCCAGUAAAAUGGCACACACAUAGCAUUAUCAAAGAGAUCACAACGCUGUGAAAUCCUACUCUUGAUCUGAGCUACUGUUCUUUGAGGUAAGUAACAUUAUCCCAACACUAUAGUCUGAAGGCUAGUAUCCUCUCAAAAUUUAUAUGGUGGACCCAAAUACCUAAUAUAGUUAAAAGGUGGGGCCUUUGGGAUAUAAUUCGGUCAUAAGGGCUCCACUCUCAUAAAUGGGAUUAGUGUACUUAUGGAAGAGUCUCAAGUGAGCUCUCUUGCCUUCUUUAAUCAUAGAAGGAUGUAGCAAUAAGGCAUCAUAUUUCAAAAAGAGAGCAAACCUUGCCCAGAAACCAAAUCUGUAGGAGAAUUGAUCUUGGACUUUCCAGCCUCCAGAACUGAAAACAAUACUAUUCUGUUGUAUAAAUUAUCCAGUCUGAGGUAUUUUAUUAUAGCAGCAGGAACAGACUAAGACACCCAAUUUACAGGUAAGAAAGUUGAGGCUCUGCGAGAUGAAAUAACUCAACCAAGGUCACAGUGCUAGGAAAUGGCAGACCCUGAAUUCAAACUUAAUCCUAUCAAAUAUCAAUAUCUUCAGUUCCACUGAGUGGAAUAAAUGAGCAAAAUCUCAUUGUGAGAUAAUUAAUAAAGUUGAAAAACAAAUGGGCAAAAUAAUCAGAAAAUACUGACAGAUACUGUGGUGACAAUGAGAGCCAAAGCUGUCGAUCUCCACACUCUGUCUGGGCACUGAGAACUGAAACCACAUUUUAUCACCUACAAUAGCAUGACUGUGCCAUUUUUCUGUCUCUGUUAGCUUGUCUUUGUUAUUGCUAUUUCUUCAUUAGCAUGGCUUUAUUCUUUCAAAAGUCUCUUGCCUGGGCAAAUAUUUUGAUUGUUCAUUACAGGAACUUCCUGAAAGACUCAAUUCUUCAAUGGAAAACAUCAACACUUUGUUCUCCCAAAUUAUUUGAAUUCCUAACUCAAAAUAUUCACUGUGCUAUUUCCACAAAUCCUGGACAGUUUUAUUACAAUCCUUACCCAAAUGUAAUCAAACUCCAACUUUGAAAGAUUUGCCUAAAAUCAAUAGUUUUUAAGCUUAUCUUCUCUCCACAAGACACUGACAAAGUGUUGCAAAGUGGUGUUCUUCCUUACAAUAAUAAGCAAAUAAUUAGGGUUUUUUCUUACUAAGAGGUUGUGUUGGUAAUAUUUGGGGAGCCAGCUUUUGACAAAAAAUCAGCUUUGGAAAGCAUCCAAAUGCCAAAAUUCCCUCAUCCUCACCUCUCAAACAGAGAAGGAAAUGAGGAAUCCAGACCUAGAACACCAAUAAACAGAGCUUUCAAAAGACUCCACUGCUCUGCCGAGAAUAUUUAAGUUCAGAACAAGGGCCAAGUGGUCUGUUGUCUUUACCCUUUUCUCCUAAAUACAAUAGCUCCUUCUGCAGUCAGAGUUGAAGUCAAUGCUGUUGGGGAGGAAGAGUAAUAUCAAGUAACAUCAAGAAGCCAGAGGCAAAAGGAGGAAGUCAGAGGACCACCUCAUGUCAAAGCCGGGAAGACAAGAGAGUUUAAUAGUGCUACUGGGGUUGGCAUACUGUUCUCUUAGGCUUAUAAUGUCAUAGUGGUGAAGUGGGGGAAACAGAUGCAGAAGUCAAUUUCUAACCAAAAGGUCAGAAUCACAAUAUGACACCUUUCCACCCAAUUCUUUAACACUUUUAAGUUCUUUUUCAAAUUUAUUUAUGAAACCCAAAUUCCAUCUUAAAGGCAUUGCUAUUGGUCUAUCAUUAGAGACAGAGGUGAGAAAUAAAAAAUAGGCUGGGAAACAAAAUACAUACACUUGAGUUCUCUGUGAUGUGGGGGGCUGUUCUACCAGGAAGCCACCAAAGCACAUAGCCUCCCUGUCACAUAGUGCUCAGGCCGAGGAAAUCACAUAGCCUACCUGAUAAUUCUGCAACUCAACUCUGAAUGGGAUUACAGGUGGUGUUGCCAAAAUCCUUUCCAUAUUAAUUUGCUUAUUUGAGUUAUUUUAAUCAACCCAGCAUGAUGUCUAGUACAUAACAGUAUUUUAAAAUAGCAGUCAGAUGAUCUGAUCAUUCAAAUUAGGAGGGGCUCUGAAGGUGGCUGAGUAUAGUGAGAGACGAAUGGUUUAUGACUCUGAUUCAUUGAAUAAAUAUUUAAAAGGAGUCACUACAAGCAAAGAACCACUAUAGUCACUACAAGGGAUGUCAAAAUGUUGGGAUGGAAAAUCAGGAAGAGGGGCAAAACAUGUAUACAAGCCUAGUGCAUGCAGAAGAAACCAGGUGAGGGAGUAGGAGGCAAACUCUUUUAUAUUCAAACUUCCCUUGAAUUUGGCACAUUUUUUGGUUCUACAGAAACAAAACAAAGAGCUUUCUUCUUGCUCUUAAUUUUUUUAAUGUGCUCCCAAACCAUGGUAUUUUCUGUUCUUUAUUAUCAGUUAGUUCUCCUCUGUCUGUUUCUAGCUUCUAAAAGUUUACAGGCAUUUCAUUUCUUUCUUUUACUGUUUCUUUUUCUUUUCUUUUUCUUUUACUUUUUUUUUUUUUUUUUUUUUGAGAUGGAGUUUCACCCCUUCGCCCAGGCUGGAGUGAAGUAGCACAAUCUUGGCUCACUGCAACCUCCGUCCCCCAGGUCCAAGCGAUUCCCCUGACUCAGCCUCCAGAGUAGCUAGGAUUACAGGCACCCACCACAACGCCCAGCUAAUUUUUAUAUUUUUAGUAGAGACGAGGAUUCGCCAUGUUGGCCAGGCUGGUCGACAUUUCUUUUGAACUGAUGAUUCUACUCAUGAUAUUUUUGCUUUUAGUUACAUUUUGUAUUGUUUCUUUACAACAUUGUACUUUAGGAUGUUUAGGAGAGGAGAAGAGCAAAGGAGAUGAGUAUGAAUAUUAAUCCAUCUUCUUCACCUAGAAGGCAUUCAUUGUCUGGUGCCUGGAGGAAUAACAGUAGUGUCCUAACUAGAUUUCAUACCCCAGUUUUGCAAUCCUUAAGACUAUUUGCCGCAUCUUUCUAAAUUGCAAGUCUGAUUACACUAUACUUCUUUGAAGAAGCCUCCAAAAAUUUCAAGUAAUUACUAAAUAAAGUCAAAUUUUCUUGCCAUGACUAAAACAAAGGUCACUAUGAUAUGCACCUGCCCAUAACUUUAAUCUUAUUUCCAUAGACUCUCGGCUCAAAUCUCAUGACCUAAUCCUCUUGAAUGUCUUUCAUAUCCUCACACAUACCAUGCUAGUAUCAGCUUCACACUUUAAUCCCACUAUCCCUUCUUCCUGGAAUGUUAGCACCAUCUCCAUUUUUUUCUGGCCAUCUGGCUAAUCAACUCAUCUUUUGAGACUAUGACAACAUCCUUUCCUCCCUGAAGGCUUCACUAAAUCCUCCAAAUAGAUGCGGCCAUUCCUUCUUUUAUGACCACUCUGUAUCCUGUGCCUACAACUAUUGCAGCAUAUUUUGGCAUGCUUUAAUUAAAAAAGAAAGGAGCCACAAACCCUAUGGUCUCCCUCUAAUAUAUUCUAUGCUCCUCAAAGGCUGACACUGUCUCAUUUAUCUUUUGGCCCUAUUGCUCACCAGAAGGUCUGGCAUAUAAUAGGAACACAUUAAACAUUUGGAACUUUGUCUUCCUCUGCCAUCUGAUAUUGGUAUGCUUUAAUUACUAGCUCAUCUGCAAAAGAUUUUCCCCUCUCCUUACUCCCUAAUACAUGCUUCUUCUUCCUUCUGGCACUGGUCAUAAUAAUCAAGCCCUGGCGUAUCAACCCUCACCACUUAUCUGGGUUCAGAGUAGCAGCUCAAAAUUCAUUAUAAUUUCUGGGAUUUAUCCCAGACUCAGCCCUGAUUCCUGGUUCAUCUCGAUGUCUUGCUUUUCUUUUUCCCACCUGCUGCUUUCCAUGUGUGGUUACUGAUAUAAAGUGCUUUGAUUAAUGGACAGGACAGGGACUAGAACCAGUAAGAUUUCAGCUGAGUCAUGUGUCUCCCCAUUAACAAUUGUGUAACUUGGGUAAGAUACUUAACUGUUCUUAUCUGCAAAACAGAGAUAAUACCUUCCUGAAUUGUUGCUUAAAGAGCAAAUUAGAAAAUAGUUCAAAAUUUAUUAAAAUUCCUUGCAUAUCCCAAACGUUCAACAAAUAUUUGCCUUUUCUUGUUUGUCAUUCAAGUGCUGAGUUGUGCUGAGUCAAGAACUGUACUAAUAGUAAUGUAAAG